rnacentral:lncRNA from 1 species
GCACCACCCACAGCGCCCAGGGCACCACCCACAGCGCCCAGGGCACCACCCACAGCGCCCAGGGCACCACCCACAGCGCCCAGGGCACCACCCACAGCGCCCAGGGCACCACCACAGCCCCCAGGGCACCACCACAGCGCCCAGGGCACCACCACAGCGCCCAGGGCACCACCCACAGCGCCCAGGGCACCACCCACAGCGCCCAGGGCACCACCCACAGCGCCAGCCACACCAGGGCGACCCACUAUGACGUCAAAAUAUAUUACGCACAAAUAAAAACCAAUUUAGUUUGCAUAUUAACAAAUACAUUAAAUAAUUUUUUAUCAAUCCUAAUGAUUAUUUUUUGUUUGUACAGCUCAACAGUUUAGAAUUCAAGUUUUUAAAAUUGGUUUCACAAUACAGUGCGUUCCUAAUGUCCAAUUUGUUGUAAAAAAAAAAAACAUUCCAUCUAAAAAAAAUGAAAAAAAUAAAUUGCAGUAUAUUAAACCAAUAAAUAUGCUGGGGAUUAAAGGGGCGUAACCGCCAUGCCCACACAAGGACCAGAACUUCGCUGACAUUCACGAGACCUUCCCGCGUGUAUCCCGUUGCUCGGGGCAACAAAGUGGCAGUUUCCUUGCCCCCGGCGGUUAGUGAUGUAACGCGGCACAUAGCGAGGCACUUUGGCCUAACCCACAAGCACAUCAACGCACUUCAACUCCCUCACGCUGACCAUCUGUGGCGCCUCGGUACAACUUAACUUGCUCGAACACGUGGCCCAGUUGACCCAUUCACGCCCUGACCUUGUGGAAGCUCCCCCAGCACACGUAUUGGUCUCGUGGAAGCCCCCAGCCCACACCCUGGCCCCUGUGGAAGCCCCCAGCCCACACCCUGGCCCCUGUGGAAGCCCCCAGCCCACACCCUGACCCCCCUGUGAUUUUCACAAUAGUUACAGGCCUGUGUGUCAUGUUUGGCACAAUUAUAGGCCUAUGUUUUGUGCUUGUAAUAAUAGACCUAGUGCCAUGUUUUCCAAGUAUUGGCCUCGAAGUCUUAGGACCAUAGGGUCCUGGUCAGACAAAACAGUUGCGUUUCUUACGGAGAGGCAAGUUGGGAGAACGGUGCCUAAGGCGACAGAUGAAGGACCUCGCGACCAUCCUCAAUGGCCACGAAGGAAGUUUAGAUUCACUUAAGCCCUGGGUAAAUACUGGUUCGGAUACCAAGGGGGCAAUUGAUUUAAUUUAACACACCUUUGCUGGAUUGUUUCAAGCGUAGGUCGGACGUGUGUGAGUGCUUUAAUCUGAUGUUAGGAUAUUUGUGAGUGCGUGCGUAGGUGCGCGUCACUCCUGCUUCCAAGGCCGUACGCAAAAUCUCGUUAAGGCUUACGACACUAAAUUGGUGAGCGUGUUGCUCCCUUGCACGCGUCCUCUGAUGUGAACUACGUCAAUACUGCUUCUGUGGGUAACGACCUAGUUAUGCUUGACAAGCGUGACAGAGCCUCACUGACGGACCCACAGGAGCCAGCAAGCGUGACAAAGCCUCGCUGACGGACCAACAGGAGCCAGCAAGCGUGACAGAGCCUCGCUGACGGACCCACAGGAGCCAGCAAGCGUGACAAAGCCUCGCUGACGGACCAACAGGAGCCAGCAAGCGUGACAGAGCCUCGCUGACGGACCAACAGGAGCCAGCAAGCGUGACAGAGCCUCGCUGACGGACCAACAGGAGCCAGCAAGCGUGACAGAGCCUCGCUGACGGACCAACAGGAGCCAGCAAGCGUGACAGAGCAAAGCAGGAAGAGUAACAGUAAUGAAGGCCACAGAGUGGACCUCCCCGAGGCCGGGUUGGAGGUGAGGCUCACAGCGCCACGAGGACCAUCUCCAGCCUUAAAGAUGAGGUGGUGAUGCUGCCCGCCACCUCCCCUUCCCCCCCCGGCCAGGCCGCCACACGUGCUGUACUGGAUCCCAUACCCAUCCUGUGAGUGGUGAGGAACCUCAUGGGCAUAUUGUGAACAGCAGUGGACAGAAUACCUAUUGUAUGAGUGUAAGGGGGAGUCCCAUAAGCAUCCUGUGAGUGGAAGAAUGCUCGUAUCUA